CCUACGGGAGGCAGCAGUGAGGAAUAUUGGUCAAUGGUCGGGAGACUGAACCAGCCAAGCCGCGUGAGGGAUGAAGGUACAGAGUAUCGUAAACCUCUUUUGUCAGGGAACAAAGGCGGGGACGUGUCCCCGGCUGAGUGUACCUGAAGAAAAAGCAUCGGCUAACUCCGUGCCAGCAGCCGCGGUAAUACGGAGGAUGCGAGCGUUAUCCGGAUUUAUUGGGUUUAAAGGGUGCGCAGGCGGUCUGUUAAGUCAGUGGUCAAAGCCCGGGGCUCAACCCCGGCCCGCCGUUGAAACUGGCAGUCUCGAGUUGGAGAGAAGUAUGCGGAAUGCGCGGUGUAGCGGUGAAAUGCAUAGAUAUCGCGCAGAACUCCGAUUGCGAAGGCAGCAUGCCGGCUCCACACUGACGCUGAGGCACGAAAGCGUGGGUAUCGAACAGGAUUAGAUACCCCUGUAGUC
rnacentral:rRNA from 1 species